AUCCAGGGAUGGGAAUCGAACCCACAAUGUUCCGCUUACCGGGCAGAUGCCAUGUCCACUAAGCUACCCUGGA